CUUGCCGAGCGGUGGGCGGGCUGGCUGCGGUUUCCACUGGGCGGCUUCCGCUCAUCGCACGCAACCGGGAGGGAGCGUCUAGGGGGCCUCCCCUGGAAAUCUUAGGGGCUGGGAGAAAGUCACACAACAUUUUCCCAAGCGUUACAAGAAGGGCACCGUUAACAGGAUUCUGUGUCCAGUGAGAAUGCUGCUCAGGAAGGAUUUUUGCUGUUCUGAGUGGCCAUUCCCUCAGGAUCUCUGCAUUUGCUAACAUCUCUCUGGCCUGCUGAGUAUUCUACCUUCAGAAAUAAAGGAACACCUGGCUAAAGAAGUUAAGAGAGACACACUCCGUACUACUCUGCUAUCAAAAAAAAAAAAGCAAUAUUGUGUCCUUUAUGACAAAAAUGGAUGGAGCUGGAGGUGAUUACGCUGAGUGAAAUGAAGAGAUCAAAGAUAACUACUGGAUGGUUUCACUCAUGUGGAAUCCAGAGAACUGAUACAUAUGAACUUACAAAAAAAACAAAACAAGCAAACAUUUGUAAAAAAUUUAUUGUGGGAUUAAUGGUUUACUGUUGACAAUACAAUACAAUAGCUUGUACAUAUAUAACAUUUCCCAGUUCUACACAUAACAA